rnacentral:tRNA from 1 species
GCGCGGGUAGUAUAAUGGUCCGUAUAAUUGGUUUCCACCCAAUUGAUCCGGGUUCGAUUCCCGGCCCGCGCA